CAGGAACCUGAAUAAUACAUAUGAGCAGCCCGACCCGACCACCAUUAUUAGAACCAGGACCCAUCAAACCACCCUGUACUCACCCAGCAGAGCGAGCAUUUAUAUGAGAGCAUUAAACCGAGGGCAACACAGACUAACAGUGAGACUCCAUUGUCCGAAAGCGCCGAAGUUUCACCCACUGGUGCGACAGAUAAUGAAGAGACCAUAACCCUGUUAAAGAAACAGAAGUCCUAAAUCUGCACAGUCAUGUGACUUGAUGCAAGUUAAUGUGGUUGGUUAAUUGAAAGCAUUCAUAGGAAUGACUCUAUUGAGUGUAUUUCUAUGGGUCAAAUCUGCUCUUUGCACAUUGGUAUUAAAAAUUAUAAUGCACAUGUAAGUGUUACUGUAUAACAUUAUCUGUCUCGUCUCCUGCACGUACAAGUGUUGCCUUGUCAUUGCAUUUGUAUUCCAAACACUCCACUGUGUGUAUGCUGGUCAUUGUCCCCCACACUGAAAUUGGGGAACGGACUGUGGCUCUCUUUCCGUCUGUUAGUACGUUCAUAUGUUAGUCACAAGCGUUAUCUCAGACAGCAUUGGCCCGGUUUGACUAAACUUUGGUGAAUGAUGCAUCUUGCCAUAGCUUUACAGCAUUUAGAAAAUUACACUGAUUGGCCAGAUGGUGGCCCUGUAACGAGAUUGAAAAUGCAAACUUUGAAAGGUCAUGCCCCUCACCCCAUUAUAACUUAAAUCAUGAAAUUUAGUAGAUCGGUUCCUGUCUUCACAAGGAACAAAUUUGCCUCUGGACCCAUAAGUUCCGCCAUGAUGGAUUUUCCUCCAUUUUGAAUUGUGUGAAAAACACUUAACCCUACUCUUCUGAUACCGAAUGACCAAUCUGCACGAAACUUGACAUGUGGCAUUUAUGGAAAACGAUCUCUCAACGCAAUAUUUUCCAGACUGGUAGCUAAAUCAACAUGGUCGCUAUUGACCAAUAAACAUUCACCUGGGUGUGGUCUGGCACAUAACUGCAUAUAAAUCAGUCAAAGACAUUCGUAUUGUAACAGAAUUUGAUAAACCCUGUCAAGAGUCAACAUAUGCAAGAACAUUCAUAUUGACCUUGCUGUGGCGCUAUAACGGGCAUAUAUCUGUUGAUCUGUUUGACUUAGUGAUGAAAUUUGGCACACAUGUUUAGGGAUAUGAGCUAACCCACACGAUAUCUCAGACACCACUGGCCCAAUUUUGACAAAAUUUGGGUGAAUGAUUAGUCAUGCUAUAGAGUUCUGAAAAUGACAAAAUUAUACGUUUUGGGCCGGGGGGGCUAUAGUAAUCAACUGUACAUACGUUAGUCAUUUGUGGGGGGAUGACAUGUCAUCUGUUUUUGAACUAUUUAACUCUGAUCCUUUGUAAAUUUAUAGUCACCACAACGCUUAACAAAGCCAUCACCGUUGAUCAUUGCUACAAGAAAACACAAAAAAAGAACAAGCACUCAAUAUUUUUUCAAUUGGUUUUACUAAAGGUCACACUAUGAGAAAAUAGGCCUAACCUGUAAUUAAAUAUCCACAAUUGUUACCCAGAGGAGGGUCAUUCUUUUUCAAUUUCAGUCAGGGAGAGGGUUUAGUCUUUUAUCCAUUUUUAUAUAUUUUUUAUUUAGUCCAGGGGAGGGUCAUGUAAUUUGUAAUCGAUUUAAAUGUCAUUGCUCAGUGUUUGAGAAUUAGCAUCUCGUGUGCCUGAUGCUGCACUAAACCCUGACUCUAUGCUGGGUGUGCAAUAUCAAGUGUGCCUAGUGUGGUCUCAAUAAAAUUAUCCAUAGCCUAUUCUAUAGGCCAGGGGUGGGCAAACCUUUUGGCUCGAG